AACCAAAGGCAAAACUCCAAGCUCUAGUGGCUUCACCGUGACCUAUGCCUCACCAUCGGAUCUUCCUGCUUCACCACUAGCUGUCGGCAGAGAGAAAACAAGAAGGUAUCGGAAUCAGUGUAGCUCCGGCCAAGAAUUUGCGACAGUAGGUAUUUUCAGCUAGCAAUUUCCAGCAGCAACCUCCCUGCUGUGAGGAUUGAGCAAUUUAUCUUUGCUGGCUGUAAACAAUCAU